rnacentral:rRNA from 1 species
UACAGAGGUGGCAAGCGUUGUUCGGAAUUACUGGGCGUAAAGGGCGCGUAGGCGGUCUUGUAAGUCUUGUGUGAAAUCCCUCGGCUCAACUGAGGAACUGCACGGGAUACUGCGAGACUUGAGUUCGGGAGAGGGAAGCGGAAUUCCGGGUGUAGCGGUGAAAUGCGUAGAGAUGUGGAGGAACACCAGUGGCGAAGGCGGCUUUCUGGUCUGUAACUGACGCUGAGGCGCGAAAGCGUGGGGAGCAAACAGG